AGAGUUUGAUCAUGGCUCAGAUUGAACGCUGGCGGUAGGCUUAACACAUGCAAGUCGAGCGAGAAAGUAUCUUCGGAUAUGAGUAUAGCGGCGGACGGGUGAGUAACGCGUAGGAAUCUACCUAGUAGAAGGGGAUAGCCCGGGGAAACUCGGAUUAAUACCGUAUACCUCCUUAGGGAGAAAGAGGGCCUCUCUUGAUGCUCUCGCUAUUAGAUGAGCCUGCGUAAGAUUAGCUUGUUGGUAAGGUAAUGGCUUACCAAGGCUACGAUCUUUAGCUGGUCUGAGAGGACGAUCAGCCACAUUGGGACUGAGACACGGCCCAGACUCCUACGGGAGGCAGCAGUGGGGAAUAUUGGACAAUGGGCGCAAGCCUGAUCCAGCCAUACCGCGUGUGUGAAGAAGGCCUUCGGGUUGUAAAGCACUUUAAGCAGGGAGAAAAAGUUAUAAGUUAAUACCUUAUAGCCGUGAUGUUACCUGCAGAAUAAGCACCGGCUAAUUCCGUGCCAGCAGCCGCGGUAAUACGGAAGGUGCAAGCGUUAAUCGGAAUUACUGGGCGUAAAGCGCGCGUAGGUGGUUUGUUAAGUUGGAUGUGAAAGCCCUGGGCUCAACCUAGGAACUGCAUCCAAAACUAACUCACUAGAGUACGAUAGAGGGAGGUAGAAUUCAUAGUGUAGCGGUGGAAUGCGUAGAUAUUAUGAAGAAUACCAGUGGCGAAGGCGGCCUCCUGGAUCUGUACUGACACUAAGGUGCGAAAGCGUGGGUAGCGAACAGGAUUAGAUACCCUGGUAGUCCACGCCGUAAACGAUGACAACUAGCUGUUGGAAGACAAUGUCUUUCAGUGGCGCAGCUAACGUUUUAAGUUGUCCGCCUGGGGAGUACGGCC
rnacentral:rRNA from 1 species